rnacentral:rRNA from 1 species
UACGGAGGGUGCAAGCGUUAUCCGGAUUCACUGGGUUUAAAGGGUGCGUAGGCGGAUAGGUAAGUCCGUGGUGAAAUCCUGCAGCUUAACUGCAGAACUGCCAUGGAUACUAUUUAUCUUGAAUGUCGUGGAGGUUAGCAGAAUAUGUCAUGUAGCGGUGAAAUGCUUAGAUAUGACAUAGAACACCAAUUGCGAAGGCAGCUCGCUACACGAAUAUUGACUCUGAGGCACGAAAGCGUGGGGAUCAAACAGG